ensembl:lncRNA
UUUACAACUUUACUCCCCAUAGUGAAAAUCCCCACUAUAAGAAACAAACAUAAAUACAAAUAUACAAAAAUAUAGGCACAUAUAUACAUACAUACAUACAUACAUACAUGCUGCAUAAGUGCAUGGAGACUGCAAGGACAUCAGUAAAACCUUUAUAGACUGCAGUAUACAAGACUCCAAACGGGUGCAUUUCUUAGACAUGUGGAUCAAACUAGAAGAUGGUAGACUGACCACAACCCUCUAUCGUAAAGAGACUGAUCGCAAUUCGUUCCUUCUGGCAAGCAGCUCACAUCCCAGUGCCCUAAAAAACGGCCUGCCUAAGAGUCAAUUCUAUAGACUUAGACGGAUUUGUCAUUCAAUUGAAGAGUUUAAGGAGAAUGCUAUAGAUAUGAAGCAAAGAUUUCUAGCCAGGGGUUAUCCCACUAAAAGUAUUGAAGAGGCAUAUAAUAUCGCCCUUUCUACACCACGGCCACACCUUUUGAAAAAGUGUGUUAAAAAGGAUAAAAAGUUUUCUAUCUCCUGCAUAACUACUUUUACUCCAAGAUCCUUUAUAAUUAAAAACACCAUUAUGAAAUAUUGGCAUCUAAUAUCUGAUGAUCCCUCUCUUCAGGAUAAAUUUAGGAAUCCACCUUUGUUUGUGUCCAGACGGGGCCCUAACCUCCGCAAUAGGGUAGUUAAAGCAUGUAUAAAAUCAGCUCCUACCCAAACACUCUUAGCACCUCUUAGGGAUGGUAACUAUCCCUGUGGCAAUUGUGCCCAAUGUAAUAAUACACACAAGACCUAUAACUUUAAACACCCCAGAUCCGGUAAGAGUUACAAUGUGAAGGGCAUGAUUACAUGUAAAACUAAGAAUGUUAUCUACAUUUUAAGAUGUCCUUGUGACAUGGUGUAUGUGGGUAAGACCACACGUUGUUUAAAACAGAGGAUCAGUGAGCAUAAACGCUCUAUCAGACAUGCCGACCCUAACUACCCUGUGGCCUGUCACUUUACAGAGUGUGCACAUUCAGAGAU